rnacentral:rRNA from 1 species
UAGGGAAUCUUCGGCAAUGGGGGCAACCCUGACCGAGCAACGCCGCGUGAGUGAAGAAGGUUUUCGGAUCGUAAAGCUCUGUUGUAAGAGAAGAACGUGUGUGAGAGUGGAAAGUUCACACAGUGACGGUAACUUACCAGAAAGGGACGGCUAACUACGUGCCAGCAGCCGCGGUAAUACGUAGGUCCCGAGCGUUGUCCGGAUUUAUUGGGCGUAAAGCGAGCGCAGGCGGUUUAAUAAGUCUGAAGUUAAAGGCAGUGGCUUAACCAUUGUUCGCUUUGGAAACUGUUAAACUUGAGUGCAGAAGGGGAGAGUGGAAUUCCAUGUGUAGCGGUGAAAUGCGUAGAUAUAUGGAGGACCACCGGUGGCGAAAGCGGCUCUCUGGUCUGUAACUGACGCUGAGGCUCGAAAGCGUGGGGAGCAAACAGG